GGCGGCGUAGGAGGAUGAGGAGAAGCGGGCGGAGCAGCAGCAGAGACCACCGGAGACGCUUUGCUUCCCCCAUCGUCCUCCAUCUCCGCCUUCUCGUCGCCUCUGUGCGCCGGCCGGCACACAUGAGAAGGAGGCAGCUGGGAGAUGGCUCAAGGGCACGUGCUCCUGCUCGAUGGCGUUGUCCUCAGCGCGGUGGAGCAUGGCGCUGCCGUCAGCCUCGUUCAUCCCAGGCAUCUCUCUCCGUGAGAAGCCCCAAGGAUCCUCUCUCCUUUGUCAUCUCUCUUUCUCUCCAGAUUCUAUUUUAUCUAUGCUCAGAAGGUGUUUGACAUAAUUCAUGCAAGCCAAGAUUAAUCCAUUUCAUAUCUUUGCUCUAUUGAUUGCUCAAUAGUUUCGUUCUUCUCUGUAAAAAUGGCUCUAAUGCAUUCCAAGAUUUUGCAUACAUAUUGUACACUCGGUAUAACCAUUUUUUUUUUAGUUACGACUGUUUGUUGCUUUGGCUAGAAUCUAUUCAUGUGUUGAAGAAUGCAAUGUGGAUGAAGUGAGAGCAAGCAGCCUUUCUGGUCGUAGUUCAUAAUUUUCCUUUUCGUUUGUUAGUUCAUACUUUUUCUUUAUUAGAUCUUUAGAAUAUAGUGUUGCAUAAGUUACUCCAUGUAUUUCCUGGUCGUCAUCCUCCUUUGCAGAACUGGUUGAUGCCCUCAGGAGCUCCACAGGCAGAGGAGGAUUUACUCCACAACUUCGUUUCCUCCGUUUCAAGCUGACCCACAGAGUUGCAUGAUGCAGCGUAGGGCGCAGCAUCUCAGCAGGUGGAGAGAGCGCGUGAGGUUUUCUUUGGUGGCGCUACAAAUUAUAAGGAAGAGUGCUUGGAUCCAGUCUUAUGUGAGUUUAUUCUGAUUUUUUGGUCAGAUCUGGAUCAACCGGUUCUCCUUGUCUUUAGUGUCAAAUAUCAGAAGUUCUCCAUACAUGGUGGAAGCACAACUUGAAUCAGAUGCUAGACAACUGCAGUAUUAUAAGGGUAGGCAAAAAAUACUGACUUUUCAUUGUUUUAAUUAUCACAGCUCCUUAUAUAAUAUAAUGUAUCAUUGUUAGAAUACCAUAUUCUUUUAUUUUGAGUUAAAGUUGUAGAUUUGCCUUUCUAAAAUACUACAAUAUACCUGCACCAUCUGAAGCUCAUGAAGGGCUCGUGGGUGUGUUCCGCUCUUUUCCCCCUUUUUCUUUAUUCCAAACCAUCUGCUUACUCUCUUCAGCCUAAGGCAAAUAAUUGUUUUUAUUUGGUAUCCAGAUGUCACUGGCAUGAUUACUACAAUUUCUGAUAUUUGAGUUUUCACAAUCCCAGGAAGGGUUAAACAUUUAGUGAGAAGAGAUGUAGUGUUCUCUGGUCCUCAUUAUUUUUUUACAUGAUUGCUAAAUGUGUUCUACCAUUAUUUGUCGACCUUUUUUCUUAGUGAUUUAUGUUUCUAAUUUGUCGGACUUGGCAGGUUGUUAGUCAUUUGCAAUGCUUCUGGUGGUCAUGCUAGCACCUAUUUGCUUUGUGUCUGUGUACAACCUCGACUGUUAGAAAUUAGUUUCUUAAUUUCAAAUAGAUUCUGCAAGCUCACAUUAUGUUUUAAUAAUGAUCUACUGUCUGAUGAUAUUGACCAUUCUAGCUUUGGUAAUAACUCAUGUUGUAAUGGCUCCAGAAUAUUUUUUAAUUAUCUACUUCUCGGAACAUAUAUUAUGAAUUGACUAAAUGGGGCGAUAAUUGUUUAGUUAAGUUCUGUGUCUAUCAAAUGCAGUUAUGAUGUAAUUGCUUUAGUAGGCUUUUGGGCACUUAAAUACUGUUAGGUGAAUGUGAGGCAUUUGCUUAUUUGGUUUGCAUAUUAUAGUCUUUAUCUCUGAAACACAAAAUACAUUUCUUAUUUGGUUUGCGGAUUAUAUGCUUAGCUCUCAAGCACGAAAUGAUCUUGCCAUAUAAAUUCGCUAUCUUUAUUUCCUAAAUGUAUAUAUGAUGAUAUGUUAUCUUAAAUUUUGUGCCAUGCCAAUGUUGUUCUUACAAGACCUACCGAUAGUCAGAUCUUGUCAUUGCCAGGGUUGCAGUAGGUGGAGCAGAAGUGGAUGGGGUCUUGCUGUUCAUCAUAGUGUCAAAUAUCAGAAGUUCUCCAUACGUGGUGGAAGCACAACUUGAAUCAGAUGCUAGACAACUGCAGUAUUAUAAGGGUUGCACGCUUGCACCGAGUUCAACGGCGCGCGGGGUGCUGGGAUCCAGCGGAGGUCGCGCUGGCUGAAGGCAGCCCGACGCUAGCCAUGAUACCCCCGAUGCUAUGAGGUGACACAACCUACUAUGAUGUUGUUGCAAACUCAGCUGCAUCUGGGAUACUUGUUGCUGGUAUGCAUCUUUUAAACCACUCAACCUGAAUGCCAUGUUUUCUAUGUUCUUUGUUGUCACACCAUGAGUAGAACAAAUGUGCCUUCUUCUGGUUGUUUAUACCAUGCAAAUCAGUAUCAGUGUUUAAAUGGCCUCAAGACUGUGCAUGAUAGGAGGAUAGGUACUUGGAGGAACUAUAAAUAUUAACACCCAGGGAACACUCAUAUCUGAUUUGGAGACUUGCAUUGAUAUAAGCAUGGUCAGGAACUUUGGGAGGAGAGGCUGUCACCAUCGUAUGGAGGAGCGCCAACCGCUACUCCGUUGGAAGGAGCUGCCGACACCACAGCCAGGCGUUUGUCCUCGCCUCGGCAAGGCUGUGGUGCCCCUGGUUACAAGAUCAAGGUCAACGCGCUGCUGGUACUGUCGCGGCGGGUGGACGCCGCUACUUCUGUUAGCUGCUGUUCGGUUCCAAUCCUGGUAUUACAUUUUUCAUCCAUCAUCUACUCUACAAUUACAGUACCAUGGAGGGUAGAGAUGAACUGCCUGUACGCAUGCAACGGCGUGGGACUCCUUGGCUUAUACGAAGGAACUGUAUAUCUGUUUGUACCCAAAUAGUGUUAUUCUUCGUUGUCUUGAGCUACUAUUCUUUAACAUGUCGUCUAUUGGUUUGUUUGUUUCCGAGAAGGAAGACUUGCGGUGCUGCACGUUUCCUCUGCCCGUGGUGCAGCUAACUGAAAAGAACGUAGGCUGAUCAUUGAUUCAAAACGUGCUAGCUUUAAAGAUCAUGUUUUACAUGUUACGAUGCCUUCGGUUCAUCACAGCGAAACCAAUGAACAGUCAGUUGAAAAGACGGAUAACAUAUGUGCCAAGGAUACACCAGUUAUCGCACAAGCAGUAGUCGAACAUCUGUCUACACUAAGUGAUAAACAAUGUGGAACAAACCCUGUCGAAGAUGUGCUUGAUGCCGAUGACACGAAUGCCGAUGACACGAAAAACAUCAGUUGAUUCCCCGUUAGGAAAGUUGUCUAAUAGGUGACACGGGUCACCGAUAGUUCUCUUCCAGCUAUCUAGGUGUUGUAGAAUCUUACCGUUCCACUCUUCUCUUUUGCUAUGUAUUGUACAUAUGAAUCAAGCGUACGAUGCAAUGCAAUAGCUGUCUUCUGCAUCUCUUAUAGCUGGUGGCUUGACCCUUCCGUGUCCUUCGUUCUGUACAAUUGCUUUUGCUUCAUGUUGCUAUCUCCACUCUUAUUUUUACUUCUUUGUACUUUCUACUAGCUGCCAUACUUAGUUUGGAGAAAAGACUUUGUACUGGAAUGGAUUAUCAUAUUGGCAACUUUUUUAUCACACUUAUA